rnacentral:tRNA from 1 species
CUAAAGUUCUCCAAACAUA